UGCAAGUCGAGCGGUAGAGAGAAGCUUGCUUCUCUUGAGAGCGGCGGACGGGUCAGUAAUGCCUAGGAAUCUGCCUGGUAGUGGGGGAUAACGUUCGGAAACGGACGCUAAUACCGCAUACGUCCUACGGGAGAAAGCAGGGGACCUUCGGGCCUUGCGCUAUCAGAUGAGCCUAGGUCGGAUUAGCUAGUUGGUGGGGUAAUGGCUCACCAAGGCGACGAUCCGUAACUGGUCUGAGAGGAUGAUCAGUCACACUGGAACUGAGACACGGUCCAGACUCCUACGGGAGGCAGCAGUGGGGAAUAUUGGACAAUGGGCGAAAGCCUGAUCCAGCCAUGCCGCGUGUGUGAAGAAGGUCUUCGGAUUGUAAAGCACUUUAAGUUGGGAGGAAGGGCAUUAACCUAAUACGUUAGUGUUUUGACGUUACCGACAGAAUAAGCACCGGCUAACUCUGUGCCAGCAGCCGCGGUAAUACAGAGGGUGCAAGCGUUAAUCGGAAUUACUGGGCGUAAAGCGCGCGUAGGUGGUUCGUUAAGUUGGAUGUGAAAUCCCCGGGCUCAACCUGGGAACUGCAUUCAAAACUGUCGAGCUAGAGUAUGGUAGAGGGUGGUGGAAUUUCCUGUGUAGCGGUGAAAUGCGUAGAUAUAGGAAGGAACACCAGUGGCGGAGGCGACCACCUGGACUGAUACUGACACUG
rnacentral:rRNA from 1 species